UCAUAUGCUUUCCUAGACUUGUUUCUUGAAGGGCUCCAGCCUGAGAUGAAUAAUCCAAUUAGGAGACUGGCAAAUGAAUAUUUGUACAACCAGUGGAUCUUCUUCUAUCUGUCUGACACAAUUGGAGAAACUGGUUGUUUUACUAAGACUUUGACUGGAAGGGUGUGCUUGCCUUUAAGGAAUCAAGCUUGACUUGCAAAGCCAAUAAAAGCCACGUGGGAAAACUGGCUUCAUAUCUUGUCUACACUGUCCCUGUAUAGGGUUCCUAACCUGUGAUUGUGAAGACAGAAGAAGUCAACCUGAAAACAAACCACAGUUUGGAAUCAAGCCAAGGAUCAUCGGAAAGUACAGAAAAUCUGACCAUUCCUAAGAAGAAGAGUUGGAUUUACUCUCCUUAGGAUUUAAGGCCAAGUUCAAUAAAUAUGUUCACAUUGGGUUUAUGAUAAGGAAAAAGAAAGAAGCCUAAUCAAAUUGUCCCACUUGCAGUGCUGAACGAGUGUCCAUGUCCGCCUUUCAUGGUGGCAAGGAUCAUCGGAAAGUACAGAAAAUCUGACCAUUCCUAAGAAGAAGAGUUGGAUUUACUCUCCUUAGGAUUUAAGGCCAAGUUCAAUAAAUAUAUUUCUGUUCCAUAAAGUUGCCUUCAGCACUGAACAAGCCAAUGCUGAAUAAGGGGUCCUAGGCAAAUCUGAGGUAUUGUAUCACAAAUAAUGGAUUCACCAAUGAAGAACAUGUUCAAAGGUUUCAAGAUGCAGCCUCCUUCUUUAUGCAUCUUCCUCCACUUAAUCUCUAUUCCACCUCUGGGCCAUCACUUUGAAAUAUACAGUAUCUAGCAAAAAGGCCUCAAGAGAAGAUAUGAUUCCUCAACAUAUUUUAUGGGUGAAUCUACAGGAGGAAGAAAUAAAAUUUUUUAAAAGCUCAAGAUUUAAUGAAAAUGGGAACAAAUCAUAGUGGAAUGCAGUUUCAGGUAUGAGCUACAAGCACAUUAAGAGACAUUGAAGUUGAGUGUGCUUUAUAUUCCUAAUGUCUUGAGCACACUGUGAUUUAAAAUAGCUAUUAAAGAUUAUGCAAAAUGUGCAAAAUUAA